UUACACAGAAGCAGAAAUUAAUUUGGACAGCUGUCAAAGAUUACUCAUAAUCUCAAGACAGCCUGUUUAUGGUUUGAUACAAAUGCGGAAUUAGCAAAAUCAGAAAAAUGUUUUAGAGGUUGUGAUUUGGCAAGUUCCUUAUUUUUUUUAAAGAAUUUAUUAUUUAUAAACCUCAACUAAACACCAUUAGGAUGACCUGGAUCAUUGAUUGCAAGCCACAACAUUUUGGCUAUCAUUAGUAAAUGACUUCUCAAU